GGCUCGGUAGCGGAGGGUCCGUGUCUGCCUUAUAUGUGGGUUGAGAUUUCGAAGCUGAGCACGCAGAUCUCGCCUGUUCGAUUCAGGCCCGAGUCA